rnacentral:rRNA from 1 species
UACGAAGGGGGCUAGCGUUGUUCGGAUUUACUGGGCGUAAAGCGCACGUAGGCGGAUUGUUAAGUCAGGGGUGAAAUCCCAAGGCUCAACCUUGGAACUGCCUUUGAUACUGGGGAUCUCGAGUCCGGAAGAGGUUGGUGGAACUGCGAGUGUAGAGGUGAAAUUCGUAGAUAUUCGCAAGAACACCAGUGGCGAAGGCGGCCAACUGGUCCGGUACUGACGCUGAGGUGCGAAAGCGUGGGGAGCAAACAGG